rnacentral:lncRNA from 1 species
UAACACAUAUUAUGAUGAUGCAGGCCACAGAUGUGACAGUUUAUGUUUCAAAAUCAAUCAUAUCAAAAGAUACAUGUAUAAAAUUUGCAUACACUACAAUUAUAAGUACCAAUUAUGAAUUUAAAUAUACAAUACUAUCAUUACAGUCUGAACCAAUGAGCAUAUUAUGUAAUAAAUGAAAAGACAAAUGUCAUCAAUUAUUGAAAUUGAAUUUUUUGAAAAGUCAAUCAAUUUAGAGUUAUCUCCCCUUGACUAUAAAUUUGUUAAUAAUAGUGUAACAUUUCAACUUUUGGGA